rnacentral:rRNA from 1 species
GAGUUUGAUCAUGGCUCAGAUUGAACGCUGGCGGCAGGCUUAACACAUGCAAGUCGAACGAUGAUUACUAGCUUGCUAGUAUGAUUAGUGGCGAACGGGUGAGUAAUGCUUAGGAAUCUGCCUAUUAGUGGGGGACAACAUUCCGAAAGGAAUGCUAAUACCGCAUACGUCCUACGGGAGAAAGCAGGGGAUCGCAAGACCUUGCGCUAAUAGAUGAGCCUAAGUCGGAUUAGCUAGUUGGUGGGGUAAAGGCCUACCAAGGCGACGAUCUGUAGCUGGUCUGAGAGGAUGAUCAGCCACACUGGGACUGAGACACGGCCCAGACUCCUACGGGAGGCAGCAGUGGGGAAUAUUGGACAAUGGGCGAAAGCCUGAUCCAGCCAUGCCGCGUGUGUGAAGAAGGCCUUUUGGUUGUAAAGCACUUUAAGUGGGGAGGAAAAGCUAAUAAUUA